CCAGCCCUGCCUGCCUGCGUGCGCGGCCCUUCUCCUCGCGAACAAAAGCGCUGCCGGCUGGAGAAGGGGCCGCGCUGAGAAGGGGCGGCCUGGGAGACGUCACCGUCACCGGGACCCGACAUCCCAACCCAGCUGUCGUGCUCCUCGCUUCGUCUCACCAUCCAAAGUGAUUUUCCUAUCGUCACUCUUCAGGCGGGUGUAGAUCCUUGCUGUACAUAACUGUGCUUAAUCCAGCUAAGAAGCUGCUUAAAAAUCAGACUGUCUGAUAAGCUAUUACCUGGUAGCUCCUGCCAUGUGAGAAUGCAAUACUUCAUAUUUGAAAUCCCUAGAAAACUCUGAGAUCUGCAAAAAGAAAAAGAAAAAAAGCCUGAAAGUCUGUUACAAGGGAUGCCUUUUUGUGUAAAAUGAAUACCAGCUUGCAAGCGGAAUGACAGUACGAUUUGUUAAAUCUGUGACCGUUUAAUAACCACUUGACUCACCUUGCCCUCAGCAGGAUGUUGCGUUUAAGAACACCGUCCAAAUUAAAAAGGAACAGCAAGGGUGAAGCUGCUCCUGGUUACCUGGAGUGCCUGUGGAAGGAGGGAAACUGGAGAGGAGCAAAACCUUGUUGCAGUGAAAAUG